rnacentral:rRNA from 1 species
AGUGAACGCUGGCGGUAGGCCUAACACAUGCAAGUCGAACGGCAGCACAGUAAGAGCUUGCUCUUACGGGUGGCGAGUGGCGGACGGGUGAGGAAUACAUCGGAAUCUACUUUUUCGUGGGGGAUAACGUAGGGAAACUUACGCUAAUACCGCAUACGACCUACGGGUGAAAGCAGGGGAUCUUCGGACCUUGCGCGAUUGAAUGAGCCGAUGUCGGAUUAGCUAGUUGGCGGGGUAAAGGCCCACCAAGGCGACGAUCCGUAGCUGGUCUGAGAGGAUGAUCAGCCACACUGGAACUGAGACACGGUCCAGACUCCUACGGGAGGCAGCAGUGGGGAAUAUUGGACAAUGGGCGCAAGCCUGAUCCAGCCAUACCGCGUGGGUGAAGAAGGCCUUCGGGUUGUAAAGCCCUUUUGUUGGGAAAGAAAAGAAGCAGGUUAAUACCCCGCUGUUCUGACGGUACCCAAGGAAUAAGCACCGGCUAACUUCGU